CUAUGUUCUGUCAGUUUUCAAUGAAGAAGAGUAUGAUCUUCAAAACUACUGAACUUAAAAAAUGUGGUUUUGGCUAGUUUAUUUGUUGGAGCCAAGGCUAACCAGAGGGAUAUAGGCACCUACAUGACAAAUAAAGAGAGAGAUUUUCAACUCUUUUUCAAAAUUCCAGUGAACUCUACAACCCAAGGAAGAAAGAGAAAGGCCCAAGAAAUACAACUUCAGUUUACCCCCAAAGAGGAAAUAUUUAACUACAGACUGUAUAUUAGUCUGUUUUCAUGCUGCUGAUAAAGAUAUACCUGAGACUGGGAAGAAAAACAGGUUUAUUUGGACUUAUAAUUCCAAUGGCUGGGGAAGCUUCAGAAUCAUGGCGGGAGGUGAAAAGCACGUCUUACAUGGUGGCAGCAAGGGAAAAAUGAGGAGGAAGCAAAAGCAGAAACCCCUGAUAAACCCAUCAGAUCUUGUGAGACUUAUUCACUAUCGCAAGAUUACCACAGGAAAGACUGGCUUCCAUGAUUCAAUUACCUCCCACUAGUUCCCUCCCACAACACUUGGGAAUUCUGAGAGAUACAAUUCAAGUUGAGAUUUGGGUGGGGACACAGAGCCAAAUAAUAUCAUUUUGCCCCUGGCCCCUCCAAAUCUCAUGUCCUUACAUUUCAGAACCAACCAGGCCCCCAACAGUCCCCCAAAGUCUUAACUCUGUUUCAGAAUUAACCCAAAAGUCCACAGUACAAAGUCUCAUCUGAGACAAGUCAAGUCCCUUCUGCCUAUGAACCUGUAAAAUGGAAAGCAAGCUAGUUACUUUCUAGAUACAAUGGGGGUACAGGUAUUGGGUAAAUACAGCCAUUCCAAUGAGAGAAAUUGGCCAAAACAAAGGAGUUACAGGGCCCAUGCAAGUCUGAAAUCCAGCAGGGCAGUCAAAUUUUAAAACUCCAAAAUGAUCUUUGACUCCAUGUCUCACAUCCAGGUCACGCUGAUACCAAAGGU
rnacentral:lncRNA from 10 species